UGUUCGUAAGUUAGGAGCACCAUUAAUUACUGGGCAUGGAGAGGAGGAGGAGCCCAUUUGAAUUAUAAUGCUGCAUGGACUUGUCAUUUUCUUGCAUAUUAUAUUUUGCUUGUAUUAUUAUAUUGCACGUGUGCCCAAGCAAUUGCGGUAUAUCUAGGUUUCAUUCUACAUUUUUUCACAUUAUGUCCCUUUAUUUUUCCGCUGGAAACAAAAAGAAAAAAGACAGAAAUGUUGCUUCAAAAGUAAAUGGAUGUUUCAGCGGCUGUAAGAACAAAGAUGACAGAAAGAAGUUUUUUUACAGUUCUUUGCCUUUUCCCCUCCAUACAACCCUAUAAUGAGCAAAAAAGGAGUUAAAGCAGCAAUCUGGAAGAUAUAAUAAUGAAGCUGACAGAAUGAUAUAAUUUGCCUGCAGCUUUAGGUGUACUGGUUGGCCUGGAGGAAGAACAAGCAGAGUUCGGACUGAAUAUCACGUCAUUGGACUGUUUGAUCUUUUUUGAUGCCUAAGCAAGACAAAGAAGACCAAGUAACUACCACGUAAUCGGCAUAUAAGAGUGGCCGGAUGUUUAUGAUGUAUUGGUCUAGUGAGCUUAAGACGACGGCUAAAAACAAAGAAGAAGAAAAAAUAUAAAGGAAAAAGGCCUAAAAGUGAGCUUUGGGAUAGCCUUUUUGUGAAUUGUGUGUACAUAGCAAAUUUAUUAUCAGUUUGGAUUUACAGGGUUCAUGGUCAUAUUCAGACAUACAUCGUUUGAAAUAUGUCACAUACUUUUUUAAAAAUAAUUGAAUUAUUGUGUAAUAAGAUCUAGAAGAAUGUAAGUUUCUCAACUGGCAUGUGUGCCAUGGUCUAUGAUUAUAUAUUUGUUUAAACGGAUUUUUUCCCAAAAUA